UCUUCCGCAAUGGACGAAAGUCUGACGGAGCAACGCCGCGUGAGGGAUGAAGGUUUUCGGAUCGUAAAACACUGUUGUUAGGGAAGAACAAGUACCGUUCGAAUAGGGCGGUACCUUGACGGUACCUAACACGAAAGCCACGGCUAACUACGUGCCAGCAGCCGCGGUAAUACGUAGGUGGCAAGCGUUGUCCGGAAUUAUUGGGCGUAAUGCGCGCGCAGGCGGUUUCUUAAGUCUGAUGUGAAAGCCCCCAGCUCAACCGGGGAGGGUCAUUGGAAACUGGAGAACUUGAGUGCAGAAGAGGAGAGUGGAAUUCCACGUGUAGCGGUGAAAUGCGUAGAGAUGUGGAGGAACACCAGUGGCGAAGGCGACUCUCUGGUCUGUAACUGACGCUGAGGCGCGAAAGCGUGGGGAGCGAACAG
rnacentral:rRNA from 1 species